rnacentral:ncRNA from 10 species
GGUGGGGAGUUUGGCUGGGGCGGCAC